UACGUAGGGUGCAAGCGUUAAUCGGAAUUACUGGGCGUAAAGCGUGCGCAGGCGGCUUUGCAAGACAGAUGUGAAAUCCCCGGGCUUAACCUGGGAACUGCAUUUGUGACUGCAUGGCUAGAGUGCGGCAGGGGAGACUGGAAUUCCUGGUGUAGCAGUGAAAUGCGUAGAUAUCAGGAGGAACACCGAUGGCGAAGGCAGGUCUCUGGGCUGACACUGACGCUCAUGCACGAAAGCGUGGGGAGCAAACAGG
rnacentral:rRNA from 1 species